ACUCAAAGGAAUUGACGGGGGCCCGCACAAGCGGUGGAUCAUGUGGUUUAAUUCGAAGCAACGCGAAGAACCUUACCUGGGUUUGACAUCCCCUGACAGCUCUAGAAAUAGAGUCUUUAUAGCAAUAUAACAGGGAGACAGGUGCUGCAUGGCUGUCGUCAGCUCGUGUGGUGACAUGUUGGGUUAAGUCCCGCAACGAGCGCAACCCUUGUCUUUAGUUGCCAGCAUUAAGUUGGGCUCUCUAAAGAGACUGCCGUGGUUAACACGGAGGAAGGUGGGGAUGACGUCAAGUCCUCAUGGCCUUUAUAUCCAGGGCGACACACGUGAUACAAUGGAUGGUACAAAGAGAAGCAAAAGGGCAACCUCGAGCAAAUCUCAAAAAGCCAUUCUCAGUUCGGAUUGGAGUCUGCAACUCGACUCCAUGAAGGUGGAAUCGCUAGUAAUCGCGGAUCAGAACGCCGCGGUGAAUAUGUUCCCGGGCCUUGUACACACCGCCCGU
rnacentral:rRNA from 1 species